UCCGGUUUGACACCGGCAGUCUCGCUAGAGUACUCGCCAUUACGCGUGAGCAACUAACGACAGGGGUUGCGCUCGUUAAGGGACUUAACCCGACACUUCACAGCACGAGCUGACGACAGCCAUGCAGCACCUGUGACCGUUCCGCCCUUGCGGGUGUGGCUCUACUUUCAUAGAGUUAAUACGGCCAUGUCAAGCCCAGGUAAGGUUCUUCGCGUUACCUCGAAUUAAGCAACAUGCUCCACCGCUUGUGUGAGCCCCCGUCAAUUCAUUUGAGUUUUAGCCUUGCGACCGUACUCCCCAGGCGGUGCACUUAUCGUUUUUACUACGACCGAUACGGCGUCAAAACCGCACCGGUCUAGUGCACAUCGUUUACGGCGUGGACUAC
rnacentral:misc_RNA from 1 species